CCCUUAGAUGUUCUGGGCCGCACGCGCGCUACACUGACUGCUCCAACAAGUUACCUGGGCUGACAAGCAUCCGGGAAAUCUUGCAAAGGCAGUCGUGAUGGGGAUAGAUUCUUGUAAUUUUUGAUCUUCAACGAGGAAUUCCUAGUAAACGCAAGUCAUCAGCUUGCAUUGAUUACGUCCCUGCCCUUUGUACACACCGCCCGUCGCAUCUACCGAUUGAAUGGAGAGGCAAAAUCUUCGGACCGUGACGCUUGGGAGUCAAAUCUCGGGCUGUCGUGGGAAGUGGAUUAAACCUUGCUAUUUAGAGGAAGGUAAAGUCGUAACA
rnacentral:rRNA from 1 species